GCAUGCCUGCCCAGUGAAUAUUAAACGGCCGCGGUACCCUAACCGUGCAAAGGUAGCAUAAUCAUUUGUCUACUAAUUAUAGACCUGCAUGAAUGGCAAAAUGAGGGCUCAACUGUCUCUUAUAAUAAACCAAUUAAACUGAUCUCCUAGUAAAAAAGCUAGAAUAAACCCAUAAGACCAGAAGACCCUGUGAAACUUAAACUAAACUAUUAAAACAAAUAAUAACUACUUUCGGUUGGGGCGACCUUGGAAAAAAAAAGAACUUCCAAACACACCAUAAUACUACUGGCUGACAGGCCAUUAAAGACCCAGCAUAGCUGAUAACUGAACCAAGCUACUCCAGGGAUAACAGCGCUAUCUUCUUCAAGAGCCCAUAUCAAAAAGAAGGUUUACGACCUCGAUGUUGGAUCAGGACACCCAAAUGGUGCAACCGCUAUUAAAGGUUCGUUUGUUCAACGAUUAUAGUCCUA
rnacentral:rRNA from 1 species